UCAGCUUUUCUGGCUUCUGUAUAUAUUGAGGCUGUGUGCCUGAGAUCCCAAAAAAAUCACCAAGCCUUUUCUUGCUGUAAGAAGACAGGGAGCAUUUCUCCUGACAGCCAUGAAGUCAACACUGAUUGUUCUGCUUCUUGUCCUGGCAAGUUGCUAUUACUCUGAUGCACUUGCCUGUGAAGCUAUCGACAGGAUUAAAACUAUAGGGAUCUUUAAAUCAAGUGACGAAUUGAGGAAAGAACUUUCUAAGUACACAACUGACACCGAUGCCUUAAAUGUCGCAAUUAAGGCUAAGGACUGUGUGAUUGGAUUACAAUUCUUGGAAAAAUUAGCUCUGUUGUCUGCAGCGACAAAAAUAUUGCUUACCUGCUGAAGUUGGCAAAUAAUGCUGUCUGAGUGACACAUCCUUUGACUUUCUGGUUUCACCCUCAUCUACCUUUAGAAGAAAUUAUGCUCUGCAGUAGUACUAAGGGAAGCCUCCUACAAAUAUGUGAAUCAUUCAUACUUUUUGAUUUGUUACAUUCACUGAUUGUCUCAUGUUCUGUUGAGUGAAUGACAAAUGUUCUAUCGGCUUUCUUAAUAAAUUCCUGGAAAACAGAUACCAGAUUUGGUUGCAAGUGGCCCUCUAUAUCAAUUCAUUUUUCUGUUAACAAAUGAUACCGCAUAGUUGGUAAUAUCUGAGAGUUUUGUUCCCAACAUAAUAUAGUUUUACAGACCAUAUUGUAUCUGUUGACCAGAUAUGAAUGUAAAAUGAAUGUAAAAAUGAGCAUCAGCCUCUCUUAUAGAACUAUCUGGAAAAUGUUAUCCUAUUUCAGUUGGUAAGGAUAGAAAUCAAAAGAAUUUGAUUAAAUAAUUGCACCUUCCUAUAGUCUACUCACACAGAUGUUAGUAUUUCCUGUUUUAUAAUCUAACUUUCUAGCAUUUACAUCAUUUUUUCAGUAACACUUCUGGAAUAAUGGGGUUUCACAAUGGGGGCAUUUCAGUACCUCUUUUGUUGAGGUAAUUGAUACUAUCACAAAAAAAAAUCUGAAGAAAAAGCCAUGAUUUCAUGAAGUGAUACUUCUAGCAAAUUACUCUGCUACAUACACCCAUGAUUUUGGAGAUGAAAUAGGAAAACACAUAUAAAUGUUCACUGUGUAUUUGUAACCCAAAUGUUAUUAACUCAUCAUACAUUACAAGUUGAUUAAUUUAAUCAACAUUAAGAAAUCUGCUAGGGCUAUACCAAUUUAC
rnacentral:lncRNA from 11 species